GCCGAGGCUAGAGUCACAUCUAGACACUACCUGUGGUCAUGGUGUGCUAGUGUACUCAGAGAGUAACAACUGAUCUUUAUUCACUGACUGUUCUUGAUCAGUAACUCAGUCAGUCACCGGGUUAGUAACAGCC
rnacentral:snoRNA from 1 species